GUUUGAGAUUUGAGAGGGGCUGCUCCUAGUACGAGAGGACCGGAGUGGACGGACCA
rnacentral:rRNA from 1 species